GUUAUAGUAAGAACAAAUAUUAGUACAUGUGAAGAAUCAGGAGGUGAUAGUGGAACCUGCCUUAAGUUUUUGAGUUUGAAUCGAGAGUAAAAGAAAGUGGUGGUCUUGAGCUCCUAAAUUAGUUGGUUCCCGUAGGAACUGAAGAGUAAUUGAAAAGGGUAUUUCGGAGUUCUUGACUGAAUUAAGGUAUCUUUGGCUUCGAUAGGCGAACUGCAGAGGUUAAGGUUUGAGUAGCGGGUAAAGUGGCAGGUAACCUUGAUGUAAGUGGCGUUGACUCGGCCGAAGGAGAGAUUAGUGUUUGGGUUGAGUAAGGUGUUUGGUUGUGUAUAGCGAGGUAACUGUAACUGCCGGUAUCUUUUUGUAGGCAGUAAUGUGGUUGUAGUCAGUAAGGGUGAUGUUUUUUUUUUGCUUGCAAGUAACUAUUGUAAAUUAUGUAUAGUUAACUAUCACAAACACACCGUAGUAAAUUAGUUAGUAAUGUUAUGAAUAUAGCCAAGUUUGGGUCUAGGCCUGUUUACAUUUGUGCUGAAGGUUUCAAUUUAAAGAAUUGAGGUUUUAACUUCAAUGAGCCAAUGAUUUUCAGUUAGUCAAUUUCUUUUGUACCCUAGCUUUGGGAAAUUUUAGUGUUGUUGUUCAUCUCUUUUGUAUCCAACUUAUCAGCUACGAAUCUUAUUUAUUUUUAUUUUUUUUAGCACCACUAGUGUGGGUUUAGUGUCUUAAACUCAGGUUAGGGAAUGUGGGGCGCUACAAACUGUUUCUGUUAUUAGGUCUUCUCUAGGAUUGUAACACGUGUAUGGUCGGUGUGCUUCUGUCUGUUUUACAGUAUGUAUUUAAUGUCCUAUACGGACAUCUUUUGUUUGUAAUGAAGAAUAUUUUUAUGUCUCUGAA